UGCAAGCAGGGUCAGUGAUAGAAAACUGUUCUGAUCUAGCAGUCAGGUGUGGGGCAGGGGCGACUCUUUCUAAUUUUCUCAACUUGAUUCUUCCAACCUGCAGCUCCAAUUCUGGACACAAGCUGGGAACUGGAUGAAGGACUCAGUUUCCUCUGCCUCCUAGGCUUCCACUGGGUAGUACAAAGGGCAGCCUCCCAGCCACGCCUCCCCAUUGUGGGGUUUCUGCUAUGCUGAGUGUGACCAGUGCUGGCUGCCUAUUUUCCCUGCCAUUGCAUUGUAGCAGCAGGCUGGGAGGGGCAGUGAAUGGUGUCUUUGUUUUUCCGCAUUCACAGGGAAGACAGCUUCAGGUUAUGUUUGAGACUGGAUACCUGGGCCUGCCUGUGGAAAGGACGUCCUUUCAGUGGGUGAAUGAAAGAAUGAACCUUGAAGAUAAGCUGCAAGAGCAAGAAGUGCACACCAGAUGUUCCAGCCUGUUGUCGUUCCUUACAGGAAGCACAGGACAUCAAGCCCUCCAUCAAGCAGGUCUCCAGUGAACUAAGGUGAAACAUGGUCUCAUGUAAUUAUCCCAGCCUAUCCUCCAACUCACGAUUUACCAAGUAUUUGAACUUUUGAUCCUCCCAUUCCAACUUUCCAAGUACCAGGACUACAGGAUUCUACUCCCAUUCCUGUUCUAUAUUGUUAAAGAGGUCUAUUCCAGGGCUUCCUGCAUGCCAAAAAAAAAAAACAUUCUAACAACUGAACCACAU